AGGGUUCAAGCUUGUCUAACGCAAUCACACAAAAAUAAACAGACAUUAUAAUGCUUAGAUUUCAGCAGAAACUAAAUUUUGUCAGUUUUGUGAAAUUUGAAAG